UACAGAGGGUGCGAGCGUUAAUCGGAAUAACUGGGCGUAAAGGGCGCGUAGGCGGUUUGUAAAGAGUGAUGUGAAAGCCCCGGGCUUAACCUGGGAAGAGCGUCGCAGACUAAUAGACUAGAGUAUAUGAGAGGGUGGUGGAAUUUCCGGUGUAGCGGUGAAAUGCGUAGAUAUCGGAAGGAACGUCAAUGGCGAAGGCAUCCACCUGGCAUAAUACUGACGCUGAGGCGCGAAAGCGUGGGGAGCGAACAGG
rnacentral:rRNA from 1 species